rnacentral:rRNA from 1 species
CGAAUGGCGUAAUGAUGGCCAGGCUGUCUCCACCCGAGACUCAGUGAAAUUGAACUCGCUGUGAAGAUGCAGUGUACCCGCGGCAAGACGGAAAGACCCCGUGAACCUUUACUAUAGCUUGACACUGAACAUUGAGCCUUGAUGUGUAGGAUAGGUGGGAGGCUUAGAAGUGUGGACGCCAGUCUGCAUGGAGCCGACCUUGAAAUACCACCCUUUAAUGUUUGAUGUUCUAACGUUGACCCGUAAUCCGGGUUGCGGACAGUGUCUGGUGGGUAGUUUGACUGGGGCGGUCUCCUCCUAAAGAGUAACGGAGGAGCACGAAGGUUGGCUAAUCCUGGUCGGACAUCAGGAGGUUAGUGCAAUGGCAUAAGCCAGCUUGACUGCGAGCGUGACGGCGCGAGCAGGUGCGAAAGCAGGUCAUAGUGAUCCGGUGGUUCUGAAUGGAAGGGCCAUCGCUCAACGGAUAAAAGGUACUCCGGGGAUAACAGGCUGAUACCGCCCAAGAGUUCAUAUCGACGGCGGUGUUUGGCACCUCGAUGUCGGCUCAUCACAUCCUGGGGCUGAAGUAGGUCCCAAGGGUAUGGCUGUUCGCCAUUUAAAGUGGUACGCGAGCUGGGUUUAGAACGUCGUGAGACAGUUCGGUCCCUAUCUGCCGUGGGCGCUGGAGAACUGAGGGGGGCUGCUCCUAGUACGAGAGGACCGGAGUGGACGCAUCACUGGUGUUCGGGUUGUCAUGCCAAUGGCACUGCCCGGUAGCUAAAUGCGGAAGAGAUAAGUGCUGAAAGCAUCUAAGCACGAAACUUGCC